AGUAUCGGAGAGGAAAGCGGAAUUCCUAGUGUAGCGGUGAAAUGCGUAGAUAUUAGGAAGAACACCAGUGGCGAAGGCGGCUUUCUGGACGAAAACUGACGCUGAGGCGCGAAAGCCAGGGGAGCGAACGGGAUUAGAUACCCCGGUAGUCCUGGCCGUAAACGAUGGGUACUAGGUGUAGGAGGUAUCGACCCCUUCUGUGCCGGAGUUAACGCAAUAAGUACCCCGCCUGGGG
rnacentral:rRNA from 1 species